UCUACGGGUGGCAGCAGUGGGGAAUAUUGCACAAUGGGGGAAACCCUGAUGCAGCGACGCCGCGUGAGUGAAGAAGUAUUUCGGUAUGUAAAGCUCUAUCAGCAGGGAAGAAAUAGCGACCUUUGGGUCGCCAGACGGUACCUGAUUAAGAAGCCCCGGCUAACUACGUGCCAGCAGCCGCGGUAAUACGUAGGGGGCAAGCGUUAUCCGGAUUUAGGGGGUGUAAAGGGAGCGUAGACGGCAGCGCAAGUCUGAAGGGAAAUGCCGGGGCUUAACCCCGGAACUGCUGUGGAAAUUGUGCAGCUAGAGGGCAGGAGAGGUAAGUGGAAUUCCUAGUGUAGCGGUGAAAUGCGUAGAUAUUAGGAGGAACACCAGUGGCGAAGGCGGCUUACUGGACUGUAACUGACGUUGAGGCUCGAAAGCGUGGGUAUCGAACAGGAUUAGAUACCCCUGUAGUC
rnacentral:rRNA from 1 species